ensembl:lncRNA
AUUGUCUGGGGUUUGAACAAGCCAGCUGUGUUUUUAUUUAACUUUAUUGUGCGACUCCGUGUGUGUGUGUGCGCGUCUGGUUUUGUUUGCUCCACGGCGGCUUGCGGUGACAAAAGGACACUUUUUUUUUUGAGUUCUGCCAGGGUGAUUAUAACACACACACAAAGACCCAUAUGCAUGCCGACUCGCACACACAAACACGAACGUGACAGCCGGCUUCGGACCAGUCUGACUGACAGGAACUGAGAUACUAUUUCUGCUCACUCAGACAGAGACGCAUCCCAACAAUCACCUUGAGACGGCGCCGGUGGACGAGGCCGGAUUAGAUGUGCAGCAGAUAAAAGCCGAGCAUCUAAUUAGCACAAUGAGGAUUUCUGCCGUCCGGCUGAGUCAGCCGCCGUGUCGUCAACCUUUUGUUCCGGGGGAGGGAAAGUGUUUCCUGGGAUACGCGUCGGUGUGUUUAGAGAGGUUUGCGCAGUGUGCACAAGUAGGAACAUCGGCGUGCGUUUUGUGUGUGUUUUGGUGUGUGCGGGCUCGACACAAUCAUUCACUAAAAUACUGAAUACAAAUGAUUUCUGUUUCAAUGCCGUUCGCCCACGUGCAGCAAAUACAAGUUGUCUGUGUUUGCAUUUUUAUUCUAAUGCGGACCAUUUUACGAGUGGAUGGAGAAAUUUGUUUUUUGGGGGGAGGAUUCAGCACAUACCUUUUAUGUCUAACAUUGCGAGCGUGCAGAGAUGCGUGUGGAAUGUUGAAUACCUCAAACUCCUUUGGUCAUCGGUGAGUUUCUAAAUCAUGUAUUCAGGAAAUGAUGUAAACAUGACUACUGCCCCCACCAGCCUGAAUGUAAUUAUACGCAUUUGACAGCAAACGUAAAAAGGUGACAUUCCUGCCGGCAGCUGUGAGGUGAUAGACAGAAAACACGUAGGCGUGAAAUAAUAUCGAGAAUAAGAAACUCGACUCCUAAUGCAAGAACAAUAAGACCGUAACUAAACUAAACUAAAUGAAGAGUUCCUUGAGAUUGAUAAAAAAGAUCAUUUACAGGCGCUUAAGAAACUCUUUGCAGAAUAGUCAACAAAGGUCCUCCAGAAAGAUCUAAUUCUGUACAGUAUGCAUGUUUAAAGCGGAGAUGAGAGACGGAGGCGGCUGCAGGGCGGCAGUCACAUACCAUCAUAAGCCAUAUAGCUUAUCAUGAUGCAUAGCAAGGGCAUCCGUGAUAAAUCAAAACCAUUUUCAUGUCUUGGCCGUUGCCAAGCCGCAUCCAAUAAAAGACCAUCGCUCAUUAGCUCUGCGUUUAAUCAUGGUCGCCAGACAUUUCUAAUCCUUCUCCAGUGCAUCACGAAGACGUGCUGCAAACACAAAAAGCCAGCAGACAGACUCGACAAAAGACUCUGAACCUUUUCUGUGGCUUUGGUGCAGUGGGGGGUGGAGAGGGGGGCUCACAGCCCGAAAGCCGAAAUUAAAUUGCCAACUUCGUUUGCUUCUUUUAUUAGAAAACCAGCAUCCAAAAGUCUCAGGAGCAGCACGUCGGAUAAAAGCCAUCACAAAGCGAUCAAGCACAAGAGGAAGCAGAGGCGCUUUUCUUCUUAAGUGAGAGGGGGGGAAAAAAAAAAACUACCUCUGAGAUCCACUCAGGAGAAAUGUCUCUUCCAUUCGGGACAUAGAAGACGACUGCGGGUGAGGACGAAUCAAAGGCAAACAGGCAGAGGAGAAGAAGACUUUCUGUGGAUGUUGUUAGGGAUUUAAGCCAGAAGUGCACCCCUAGUCAGGAAAUUAUAGUACGUGUAAUAAUGUUUAGUGUUAGAAUUAUAGUUUGUGUGUUAUUAGAUAUUAGUUAUUACAUUAACAUGUUAGAUGAAGUGAAUACAAUGUGAAUCAAACACAGUUUAUAGUCAUUUAAAUCAUAAAAACACUGUACACAUUAACAUUCUGUCACAAUGUGAUGUUAAAACCUGGGGACGGAUGCCAAUUGCCGUUCUUUAUGGAUUUCUCCCAAUUUUAUCCCCAAAGAGGGUUUUUUGGGAGUUUUUUCUCCUGUCAGGUAAUAAAUGAACAACUUAUUGCGAGGCAGCCGACUGAGGCAAAUGUCUUGAGAAUUGGACCACAUGAACUGUUUUAGAUCUUAUGACGAAGUGUGAUGAACGGUGAUCAUUAAUGAUGGGUUGUUGUAAUUAAAGUGUACUAGUUAUAAGAUGAAGACUUAAACGAUGUAUGCUUUGUUAAAUUCACUCAUUGAGGCAUAAAG